AGCGAACGCUGGCGGCAGGCUUAACACAUGCAAGUCGAGCGGGCGUAGCAAUACGUCAGCGGCAGACGGGUGAGUAACGCGUGGGAACAUACCUUUUGGUUCGGAACAACACAGGGAAACUUGUGCUAAUACCGGAUAAGCCCUUACGGGGAAAGAUUUAUCGCCGAAAGAUUGGCCCGCGUCUGAUUAGCUAGUUGGUGAGGUAACGGCUCACCAAGGCGACGAUCAGUAGCUGGUCUGAGAGGAUGAUCAGCCACAUUGGGACUGAGACACGGCCCAAACUCCUACGGGAGGCAGCAGUGGGGAAUAUUGGACAAUGGGCGAAAGCCUGAUCCAGCCAUGCCGCGUGAGUGAUGAAGGCCCUAGGGUUGUAAAGCUCUUUUGUGCGGGAAGAUAAUGACGGUACCGCAAGAAUAAGCCCCGGCUAACUUCGUGCCAGCCGCCGCCGUAAU
rnacentral:rRNA from 1 species